AGAGUUUGAUCAUGGCUCAGAAUCAACGCUGGCGGCGCGCUUAACACAUGCAAGUCGAACGAGAAAGCCCCGCAAGGGGUGAGUAAAGUGGCGUACGGGUGAGUAACACGUGGGUAAUCUACCUUUUGGUGGGGAAUAACCCUGGGAAACCGGGGCUAAUACCGCAUAAGCUCGAAAGAGGAAAGGAGCAAUUCGCCGAAAGAGGAGCCCGCGGCUGAUUAGCUAGUUGGUGAGGUAAAAGCUCACCAAGGCUAUGAUCGGUAGCCGGCCUGAGAGGGCACACGGCCACACUGGCACUGAAACACGGGCCAGACUCCUACGGGAGGCAGCAGUGGGGAAUCUUGCACAAUGGGGGAAACCCUGAUGCAGCGACGCCGCGUGAGUGAUGAAGCCCUUCGGGGUGUAAAGCUCUUUCGGCAGGGACGAUAAUGCCGGUACCUGAAGAAGAAGCUGCGGCUAACUACGUGCCAGCAGCCGCGGUAAUACGUAGGCAGCGAGCGUUGUUCGGAGUUACUGGGCGUAAAGAGUGCGUAGGCGGUUUUCUAAGUUUGGUGUGAAAUCUCCCGGCUUAACUGGGAGGGUGCGCCGAAGACUGGAAGGCUAGAGUAUGGGAGAGGUAAGCGGAAUUCCUGGUGUAGCGGUGAAAUGCGUAGAUAUCAGGAGGAACACCUGCGGUGUAGACGGCUUACUGGACCAUAACUGACGCUGAGGCACGAAAGCGUGGGUACAAACAGGAUUAGAUACCCUAGUAGUCC
rnacentral:rRNA from 1 species